AAUAGAUACCCCGGUAGUCCACGCCGUAAACGAUGAGUGCUAAGUGUUGGGGGGUUUCCACCCUCAGUGCUGCAGCUAACGCAUUAAGCACUCCGCCUGGGGAGUACGGUCGCAAGACUGAAACUCAAAGGAAUUGACGGGGGCCCGCACAAGCGGUGGAGCAUGUGGUUUAAUUCGAAGCAACGCGAAGAACCUUACCAGGUCUUGACAUCCCGGUGACCACUAUGGAGACAUAGUUUCCCCUUCGGGGGCAACGGUGACAGGUGGUGCAUGGUUGUCGUCAGCUCGUGUCGUGAGAUGUUGGGUUAAGUCCCGCAACGAGCGCAACCCUUAUUCUUAGUUGCCAUCAUUCAGUUGGGCACUCUAAGGAGACUGCCGGUGAUAAACCGGAGGAAGGUGGGGAUGACGUCAAAUCAUCAUGCCCCUUAUGACCUGGGCUACACACGUGCUACAAUGGACGGUACAAACGGUUGCCAACCCGCGAGGGGAGCUAAUCCGAUAAAACCGUUCUCAGUUCGGAUUGUAGGCUGCAACUCG
rnacentral:rRNA from 1 species